GGAUGUGAGGGUGACCUGGCUGCGACUUCUGUCAUCCCAUUGGUGAUGAUAGAUGACAUCAUCACCAAUGAUGUUGAUUUGGCUGAUUUAGCUGGCUAGGCAGGUGUCCCCAUAUUCCCUCACUGCUCCAUGUGCAUCUCUCCAGAAGCUGCAUGCCAGUUGGAAGAGGACGACAUUCCCAAAUAGAGCAGGACCAUUCUUUGGUCAAAGGUAUAUGAGUAGCUGCAAUCCUUUGCUAUAACCUCCAAACAACCUCUCAAAUGUUUACAACUGCUGUGUUCACAAUACCCAGGUUAAGGUAUCACUCUAGUUGUCCAUCAACAAUGGAAUAAAAAAAAUU
rnacentral:snRNA from 1 species